ACCAGUGAGUGGCGGACGGGUGAGUAACACGUAGGUAACCUGCCCCGGAGCGGGGGAUAACAUUUGGAAACAGAUGCUAAUACCGCAUAACAACAAAAGCCACAUGGCUUUUGUUUGAAAGAUGGCUUUGGCUAUCACUCUGGGAUGGACCUGCGGUGCAUUAGCUAGUUGGUAAGGUAACGGCUUACCAAGGCGAUGAUGCAUAGCCGAGUUGAGAGACUGAUCGGCCACAAUGGAACUGAGACACGGUCCAUACUCCUACGGGAGGCAGCAGUAGGGAAUCUUCCACAAUGGGCGCAAGCCUGAUGGAGCAACACCGCGUGAGUGAAGAAGGGUUUCGGCUCGUAAAGCUCUGUUGUUGGAGAAGAACGUGCGUGAGAGUAACUGUUCACGCAGUGACGGUAUCCAACCAGAAAGUCACGGCUAACUACGUGCCAGCAGCCGCGGUAAUACGUAGGUGGCAAGCGUUAUCCGGAUUUAUUGGGCGUAAAGCGAGCGCAGGCGGUUGCUUAGGUCUGAUGUGAAAGCCUUCGGCUUAACCGAAGAAGUGCAUCGGAAACCGGGCGACUUGAGUGCAGAAGAGGACAGUGGAACUCCAUG
rnacentral:rRNA from 1 species